AGGGGGCAAGCGGUAUCCGGAUUUACUGGGUGUAAAGGGAGCGUAGACGGAAGUGCAAGUCUGAAGUGAAAACUUGGGGCUCAACCCCGAGACUGCUUUGGAAACUGUGCUUCUAGAGUGUCGGAGAGGUAAGCGGAAUUCCUAGUGUAGCGGUGAAAUGCGUAGAUAUUAGGAGGAACACCAGUGGCGAAGGCGGCUUACUGGACGAUAACUGACGUUGAGGCUCGAAAGCGUGGGGAGCAAA
rnacentral:rRNA from 1 species